rnacentral:rRNA from 1 species
UGUUAUUUUUUUUUAUAAAUAAUACAAUCUGCCUAUUGAAAUUUUUAAAAGGCCGCAGUAUUUUGACUGUGCUAAGGUAGCAUAAUCAUUUGAUUUUUAAUUAAAAUCUAGAUUGAAUGAUUAAAUGAAAUAUAAACUUUUUUAGAUUUAUUUUAGAAAUUUAUUUUUUAGUUAAAAAGCUAAAAUUUUAUAAAGGGACGAGAAGACCCUAUAGAAUUUUAUAAAUUAUUAAUAUUAAUAAAUUAUAAAUAAUUUAUUUUAUUGGGGUGAUAAUUAAAUUUAAUUAACUAUUUAAUAAAUUAAGUCAGUUAUUUUUGUUAUAUUGAUCUUAAAAAUUUAGAUUAAUAAAUUAAAUUACCUUAGGGAUAACAGCAUAAUUUUAUUAAGAAGUUCUUAUUUUUAAUAAUGUUUAUGACCUCGAUGUUGGAUUAAAUAAAAUUUUUAUAUGAAGAGAUAUAAAAAAUAAGUCUGUUCGACUUUUAAUAAUUU